GAGCACGUAGGUGGGUUUGUAAGUCAGAUGUGAAAGCCUCCUGUUCAACGGGAGAAUUGCAUCUGAAACUACAGAUCUUGAGUGUAGGAGGGGAGAAUGGAACUUCUGGUGGAGCGGUGAAAUACGUAGAUAUCGGAAGGAACGCCGGCGGCGAAAGCGAUUCUCUGGCCUAUUACUGACACUCAGUGUGCGAAAGCUAGGGGAGCAAACGGGAUUAGAUACCCCGGUAGUCCUAGCCGUAAACGAUGGGCACUAAGUAGAGGGGUUUU
rnacentral:rRNA from 1 species